UACGGGGGGAGCAAGCGUUGUUCGGAUUUACUGGGCGUAAAGGGUUUGUAGGUGGCUUGUUAAGUCAGACGUGAAAUCCCUCAGCUUAACUGGGGAACUGCGUCUGAUACUGGCGAGCUUGAGUGCAGGAGAGGAACGCGGAAUUCCAGGUGUAGCGGUGAAAUGCGUAGAUAUCUGGAGGAACACCGGUGGCGAAGGCGGCGUUCUGGACUGCAACUGACACUGAGAAACGAAAGCCAGGGUAGCAAACGGG
rnacentral:rRNA from 1 species